rnacentral:snRNA from 1 species
AUCGCUUCUCGGCCUAUUGGCUAAGAUCAAGUGUAAUAAAUAUGGCUUAUGAGAAUUGCAAUACUGUGAAGAGAAAUUAGGCCAGAUAAAUACUUUUCUAUUAGCAUUGCCAAAUUCCUAUGUAUUUAUAUGUAUGUACAUAUGCAUAUUACAUGUAAUACAUAUGUAUA